GAUGAACGCUGGCGGCGUGCCUAAUACAUGCAAGUCGAGCGAACAGACGAGGAGCUUGCUCCUCUGACGUUAGCGGCAGACGGGUGAGUAACAUGUGUAUCACCUACCUAUAAGACUGAUAAAACUUCGGGAAACCGGAGCUAAUACCGUAUAAUAUAUUGAACCGCAUGGUUCAAUAGUAAAUGACGGUUUUUCUGUCACUUAUAGAUGCAUCCGCGCCGCAUGAGCUAGUUGGUAAGUUAACGGCCUACCAAGGCAACGAUGCGUAGCCGACAUGAGAGGGUGAUAGGCCACAUGGGAAGUGAAACACGGACAAGACUACUACGGGAGGCAGCAGUAGGGAAUGUUCGGCAGCGGGAGAGAGCAUGACGGAGCAAGGGGGCGCGAGUGAUAACGGUGUUGGGAUCGUAAUAAUCUGUUAUUAGGGAAGAACAACUGUGUAAGUAAGUAUGGACGGCUUGAGGGUAAUUAGUAAGAAAGCAGCGGCUAACUACGUG
rnacentral:rRNA from 1 species